ACACAGAGAGAGAGAGAGAGAGAGAGAGAGAGAGAGAGAGAGAGAGAGAGAGAGAGAGAGAGAGAGAGGAGAUGAGCUUCAACUCGAAUCCGGCGGAGCAAGAGCAUCAACAAAGAGCACCUAAAACUCAUAUUGUGUAUUAUUUUCUAAAAACAUUUUUGUCCAUCAACUUUUGAUCUUUUCAUUAUAAAUUUACUCAUAAACGUGUAAUAUAAUUAUUAUAUAAAUAUGAUACACAUUGUAUCAUUUCAAUAUUGCGACUAAUAUGGCUUCUUCCAACAAUAACGACUGGUCUUUGAUGAUUAUCUGCAACAAUUUUUUGCUUUUGUAACAAUUUGUUUUUCGGAAAUUAUGUUUGUUAUCUUUUCAUAUAUAUAUAUAUAUAUAUAUAUUCUAUAUUUGUAUUAUAAAAAUAAUUAAAGUUAUCACUUUUUCAAAAAUAAAAUAAUAAUAAUAUAUCGUAACAGUAAGAAAAAAGAAUAAUUAGAUGCAAAACUUAAUCUUAUUAUUAAUUUACCAUUUCAGUUUCCUGAUACUUUAUUUGCAACGGAAUGAUGUCAGCCCACAUGAGUUACCACGCCAAUGAAUAUGGUAAAAAAAAAGAUUGUUAAGAAAAUUUAUAAAGUAUAUUAACCGAUACAAAUAAAAAAUAUGACUUUUUGUAUAUUUUUUUACUAUAAUGAAAUUUCAAAAUUGUAAUAGUUUAUAACUUGACAGUAAACUAAUAAGACCAUCUCCAACCCAAUUCUAUUUCUAUCUCUAUAUUUUUCCCCUAAAAUAGAGAAACUCUAUUAUAGAGGUGAAAAUGCUCCAAUGUAUGCCUUUAUAAUAGAGUUCUUCUAUUCUUGAGGAAAAUAUAGUGGAAAUUUACUUUUUGCCUCUAUAUUUAGAGGUGGAAAUAACAUAUCUCUAUAUUUAGAGGUGAAAAUAACAUAUCUCUAUAUUUUCCCCUAUAAUUAGAAUAACUCUAUUAUAGAGGCAUACGUUGGAGCAUUUUCACAUUUAUAAUAGAGAUUUCUAUUUUAGAGGAAAAUAUAGAGGUGUACAUUGGAGAUGCUCUAACAUCUUUAUAUAUAAAGUACACUUUUCUUAUCUCCCAGCGUGUCCACGUUGACAUCCACGUCGACAUCCACGUCAUCAAUUCGGUCGACGUCGUGGCGACACGUGUCCCAUAGCUUAAAACUAUGUGUUUCAUUAAGUAUUUAGCGACAUUUAUUGGGCUUCUUCUAAAGAUUUUUUUCCAUCGUUCGAGCGAUGGGGUUUGAUGAAAUCGACGAGUUUAAUCCGUUCGGAGGGUUUCUGCGCCGGUUGAGAUUUUUCUUCAUCGGUCGAAAUGCUUCCUCUUCUUUAUAAAGAUAGAUUGGAAUGGCAAACGUUUCUCAACUACACUCCAAUUUGAAAGCCGGCUCCACCGUCGAAGUUCUUCUCCUGGCAUUUUGGGAGACUGGCAAUGUAAAGAAAGGCUGCUAGCUUCUGGAUCUCACAACUCUCAUGAAGAAGCCAAGAGCAGAUAACUAAAGGUCUCACAACUCUCAUGAAGGAGCUCAUGUCUUUACUUUUCUGUUUACCUUUUUGUUUUUUUUUUGUGGUCAGCUUUUAAUGUUUCUUUUAAGAAUCCCAGAAAAUUGUAAUUUUCUCUCCUUUUUGCCAAAUUAAAUCUGCUGAUCGUCUUCUUUUAGAUGCUCCAAAUUGGUCAAUGCUUUGAGGACAUUCCUUUGUAUUCUCUGUUAGAUACAUGUAUGGAUAUUGUUAGUUGGAUCUGAGUUUCUUAGUAAAAUGAGAAUUCACUUUCAUAAAGUGAUUAACAAUAGUUAAUUCUUACUUUGUUUAGUUUAGUUCUACAGAUAGUGCAAAUUUAUGUUUGCUUAUUCCUCAGCGCAACGUCCAGAACACACUUUUAUUAUGAUCAGGAAACUCAAGCCAGCAAGAACUUUCUUAAAGUGUAAGAAAGUCUAACUUCAUCCUAAUAUUUUAUUAACUUUCUUACAACUAUUGUUUUAUCCCCUCUAGGCUAGGUUGGUCUUGGUCUGGCUCAAUGUCUUCGUUUACCCACCUCAGGUACGUAAUUUACUUAUUGGUACUGCAAUCGUGGAUUCAUUUUUGGCUCAUCUAAAAUUUAUCGUUCAAGUCUUCCUCUACGUGUCUAUACCUGCAGACUUUUGAGUUCCUUUGCAAAGCCAAAUUCAGUGAAAUUGAGACAAUCAAUGGAUGGUGCUCCUUCUCCUGUUCUAAGUGCUAUCAAAAGCUACAGCAUGGUUUCACAUCUUUUACAUGUUCAAGAUGUAAUGAUGACAAUGCUAUUGGGGUAAUGUAUUCUCACAGUAAUUGCAGAGAUUGUUUUCUCAUCUAAUGUGUAUUGUCUCAACCUAGGUUUUACUAACAUCUUUUAACCAUGUCAUUGUAAAGGAUUGUCUACAGUAUUGUCAUCAUUACAUCUUUAAGAUAUAGUAUGGGCUUAGAUAAAUAAAGCCAACGGGUCAAACCAAAGUAUUGUAUAAACCUGUCACCACCUUCAAAUACUAACCUUCCCAACUCUUGACUAUUUGGACUAAAAGUGGAGAAUCACUAACUCAAAGAAGUAUUAGGUUGCUUAAUCACACAUCUGAGUGUUUACAUGGCCUCUACCUGUAAAACAAAACUGAAUCCGAAACACGCCACCUACAUUUCAAAUCAAUAACAAGCACCAAACUACGCACAAGGAAUCUAAGCAUAAGAAGAACUUAUUCAAACUAAUCAUGAUUCAUGAAUAACGACCAAAACAAAAUAACAAUAAAAUCAUACCACCAAACAAAUCUUACAGCUAAAGAUCACAAUUAAAUUAUGCAAACCAACUUAACAAAACAUCAAAUAAUUUACAUGUAAUGAAGAUAUAAAUUAUUUACUCUGAAAAAUAAAGAAUAAUGAAGAUUACUUUAACUUUAAUUGAAAAAAAUGAUUAUUAUAAAAAACAAUAUGAUCUCAUAAUUCUAUUAAUUACAAAUCGCUUUCGAUAUACAAUGUUUUAUAAUGUUUCAUAAAAUUAAUUAGAAACAAUGAAAACUGAGUAAAUUGACAUUGUAAUUAACUGCAGGAUAAAAACUGAGUAAAUAGACAUUGUAAUUAACUGCAGGAUAAAAAUUGGAAGAAUUUUUACCGAAAUCAGAGACGGAAGAAGUUGGAAUAAUAAAUAAUCUGAGAAGAGAGGAAAGAAAUUGACAAGUGGAUUAUUUGUCGGUCAAAAUAAAAGAAAUCGCAAUUCACUCUAUCUCCUCUCACAAAUUCGUAAUUAUUCAAAAAUAUAUUGGAUUGCAGAGACAUUAAAAAUUAAUAGUUUGAGAGCUUUCAAAAUUUAUGAUUCGAUAACGCAAAGAAUUUUGUACAAAACACAAUUUAUAGAGUUGAAAAGACAUACGUGGAAAAGAUGCAACUUUCUAAGCCAAAAGUGGUAACAAAGUAAAAACUAUAAAAUAUGGUUAUAAACACACGAAAUAAAUAUAAUCGAAAAACAUAAAUUAAAAAGAAAUUCAAUUUUUUAUUGGCGGUUGAUAAAACAGUUAUAAACGAAAAAUACCAUAAACAGUUAUGAACAAAGAUGGUAUAGUAAACUGUCAUAAGCAAAAUUAUAUUUAAAAAAAAAAGACAUAUCAUAGGAACUAAUUGAGAUUAAAAAAUGAAAGUAGGUCUAAACAAAAAGGUUCCAUGAACGAUAAUGAACAAAAAUAUAUAAUAAAAAAUUAUGAGUAAAAAAUGAAAACAGUUAUAAAUGAAAAGGUAUUAUAAACAGUUAUUAACGAAGAUGUAUAUCAACUGUAUAAUGAAAAUGCAUAUUCGUAGGAAUUUAUUGAGAUAAAAAAAUGAAAGUAGUUAUAAACGAAAAAGUGUCAUUAAUGGUUAUGAACAAAAAUAUGUAGUGAAAAGACAUACCCGUUCGAAUUAAUUGGGUUUGCUAUUAUUAAUAGAUUUUUUUUUUUUUUUGCAUUCUAAAUAUUUAUUAAUGAUCAAGGUGUACAAUGAUUUAGAUGAAUGAGGGAAAAGUAUGGAACAUACUCCAUUUUUGAUCACAUAAGAUAAUAGUCCUUGCUAGUUUAUCAACAGCUUUAUAACUUUGAUGUUAUUGCAAACGUUUUAAGAAUAUGAUUUACAUUUUAAUGUUAUAUUUUAUGUAACUCUAUAAUCUCAUUGUUUAUGUUUUUGUUCCACAUCUUAUUAUGUAAAGAACACUUUUCUCUUCUUCUCCUACGGUCACCUCAUCAAAUAAGGAAAAGAUGGCUUCACACGUGGCAAGUUGAGAGUGAUGGGUUACUAAUGGGCUUCAUUAUAUUUAGAUCAUAGUGUUUGGAAUUAGAAUUUUGGGUAAUGAGAUUAUAAAUGUGUUUACUGCAGUCCAAAUUCAUUUUUUUCUCCAAAACAAUGUAUACGAAACCUAGAAAGUGGAUGCAGUACAACAGUUUCCGUUUAAUCAACCGCCAAAAAAAAUCUAGCUGUUUUAUCGGUAACGAAUAAUUCCGAUCAAGAUUGGUUGGAAGCCAACGUCUUUCGCUACGUGAUUGGACUUCCUCCCCCCGUGAGUGUAUUUGGGCAUCGUUACAGAAAUCAACUUGAUUCAUACAUCUUCAUUAAUGCUCACAUUAACAUCGGUUCCCACUUUUCACACGAUCGCACAUCCAAUGAAAUCCCUCAUUCAUUCCUUUUUUAGAAUCUUCCACUAUGAAUAUGAAUUUUUUCUUCCUAAGAAUCAGAAGUUCAUUCCUCCUAAUAAAACACACAAAAAGAGAGAGAGAGAGAUAGAUAGAGGAGAUGAGCUUCAACUCGAAUCCGGCAGAGCAAGAGCAUCAACAAAGAGCAACAUGUGAGCUUUAUUCGUUAAUUGCCGGUUCAGAUUUUCCCACGGCUAGAUUACAUGGCGGAGUAUCUACAGGGAACGCCUUGCUGUCAUCAUCUCUUGACGAUUGGCUGGAGCACUUUCAUCGUGAGAUCAGCAAUGAAGAUGAGAUGGUGUAGUGGUAUGCGUUUCAAAAUGGCGUUUGAAACAGUGGAUUCAAAAAAGAAUCAGUUGGUUCAUGGUUACUGUCCCGCCGUUUAAGUCGCUGAUCCAAUCCAUUGGCCUGAUUCUUUAUCGCGUCUCCUUCAGGUCAGCCACCCAAAACAAAAGUCUCUUCCUUUAUCAAAACCCGUGUUUGCAAACGCUGAAACGUUGCCGUUUAGGUAAACCUUUUGAUUUCCCUUUUGAUGGAACCAAUAUAGGCAUGAUAUGUUCUGAUUCUUUUUCAAACUGCUAUGAUACCCAUGUUUCUUACUCACAAAAUUGCAUGACAUAUAUCAUAAUGACAUUAGAAAAGCUGUAGAAGACGGGUUAAUAUAUACACUGAGCUGCGUCUUCAUAUU